GCGCUUCGGCAGCACAUACACUAGAAUGGGAACGAUACAGAGAAGAUUAGCAUGGCCCCUGUGCAAGGAUGACACGCAAAUUCGUGAAGUGUUCCAUAUCUUU
rnacentral:snRNA from 1 species